AUUGAACGCUGGCGGCAUGCUUUACACAUGCAAGUCGAACGGUAACAGGUUAAGCUGACGAGUGGCGAACGGGUGAGUAAUGCAUCGGAACGUGCCCGAUCGUGGGGGAUAACGCAGCGAAAGCUGCGCUAUACCGCAUACGAUCUGAGGAUGAAAGCGGGGGGCCGUAAGGCCUCGCGCGAUCGGAGCGGCCGAUGUCAGAUUAGGUAGUUGGUGGGGUAAAGGCACACCAAGCCGGCGCUCUGUAGCUGGUCUGAGAGGACGACCAGCCACACUGGGACUGAGACCCGGCCCAGACUCCUACGGGUGGCAGCAGUGGUGAAUUUUGGACAAUGGGCGAAAGCCUGAUCCAGCAAUGCCGCGUGCAGGAAGAAGGCCUUCGGGUUGUAAACUGCUUUCGUACGGAGCGAAAAGGUCCUUUCUAAUACAAGGGGCUCAUGACGGUACCGUAAGAACAAGCACCGGCUAACUACGUGCCAGCCGCCGCCGUAA
rnacentral:rRNA from 1 species